GAAAGGUUUCAAUCCUGGCCAUUGAUUUAAAUUGGUUUGAAUAUUCUGAUUCAAUCUUGGCCAUUUAUUUUGUGUAUAUUGAAUUUUGUUGACCCCACCAUUCUUGGUCCCUCUUUCCCCUUUCAUGACCUCAGAAGUGUACCUUUCUUCCCUUUACCUCAGAAGCGUAACUUUCUUCCCUAAUUGCUGCCGAUGAUGGGUCUGGUUCCUCAGGCACAGUGUUUUACCAAGCUGUUCUCUGCAAUUUCCGUACAACCGAUGAUGUAAUUGAUUGCACAGGGUUUCAGUUUGAUGUCGCCAGUCAUGGUCAUAUUUGCAGGCUCUCCAGCAGUUUCUCGGAGCUUACCCUUCUCCUCCUGAUGUCAUUCUUUCGUUGAAGAUGGAGAUGAUGAAUGGGAAUAGAGUUGGCUGGUUUUCUCUUCCUGUCAUGAUGUUUGUCUUUCGUCAUUUGUUUAUGGGUUAGGUUGAUAGUACCUGAUGUGUGUAAGUGCAGUGGGUAGAAUUUUGAAGGGUUAGGUUAGGAUUAGGUGGACAAGAGAAGAGGAUUGAAGUUCAGAGCAAGCAAGGAGAAGGUGAAGGUGAAGGUGAAGAGACGAUGACCGAAAAUCAUCAUCACCCUAGAUAGGGUUUAGGUUAGAUUCAGAAGGAGAAGAGAAGAUGGAUUUUGGUUCUUCUUUCAAUAGAUUUUGGUUCUUUCAAUAUGUGAUUGUAGUUUGCUUGAUUCCCUUCUUUGGUUGCUAUGUUUGAUGCAGUUGGCAGUUUUGGUGAGCAAAAUGCGGCUUGUCUUCAUGUAUUCGGGGAAGGCACUUUCCUUCUUGCCGCAAGAUCAUAAUUGCCAUCUCAAGUGUUGAUCUUCAAGGUGAUGCUUUUGGUCUUGCUGUUCCAGUCCCUUUUUGUUCUGCUCUUUCGCUGCUACACCAGAUUGUGUAUGUUGCCUGAAGAGCUUGCUGUUUUUGAUGCAUGUGGGGAGUGUCGUUGCUGUUUUGCUGAUCUAUACUUUGGGGUACUCUUGCAGAUGGGGCAUAAAUUGCUUUCAAAAGGCUUACAGAAAUGUCUGGUCAUCUGUGUGGUUAGUACUUGGGAUUAGAGAGUACACAUUUCAAUCUUAAGAAGGGAAUACUCUUGGAAAACAUAAAAGUACUUCAUGUUUUUUCUAUUUUGGUGUUCCUUUAAGAAAGAAUACACUUAGAUUAUACCAUUGUGAUAUUUUUUCAGUUGUCUUUUGCUUAGGCUCAAUAUAACAUGAAACUUGAAAGUCAUUGAUGGAAUACCAUUAUUAACCCUUGCAGUGAUGGAGAAGAUGUAGGUUGUUGUUCAGAGCAUGGUAAAGAGCCAUGAAUGACUAUCAUUAUGUGUUGUUAUUGGUUAAUGAUCAUGAGAUAUACAUGAUUUCUGAAAUGAGUAUUUUUCUCAUGCCUUAAGAGCAUUAUUUCUAAAUCUAUUGUGUAUUCCUAAAAAAAUUGUUACAAGUGCAUUUAUAUGACAACUGAAAAGAAAAAUUAUCUGAUAUAUGAGUUGUUUGCUUGAGGUCCCUUUUCUGGUAUCCUCCCACGUGAACCAAGAUCAUUGUUUUCGACUUUUCUCUUCUUUUUUUGUUUUUCUUUUCCAACCAGAUUCGUAUUUUGCUUUCCAGGUUGUAUGAUUUUGUAUUUUCGAAAUCUUGCUAUAUCUGCCCUUUUGAAUCGUGAUUUCCAUUCCCAUUGGCUCCAUCUUCUCUUAGUUGCCUAUCAAUUAACCUGUAGUUCUGUUGUACUGAUUACUGAAAUCAGUUCUGUUAGUUGUUUCUUCAUUUUCAUUUGCUUUCAAUGUCAGUCUCUGAAUCAAUUUACAUGUCAUAUGGUACAAGUGUAGACAAUGAUCUGAUUUCUGAAGUCUUACAUGAACUUCUUAAUGAUAUGGGCUUGGGCGAAUUAUGAGGUCUUCCAAUUUCAAAGUAGAGGAAGACCACAUAUUAUUAAACAUGUGCACAAAGUAGGUUGUGAAGUUUCAAAAGUUAUGCAGGAUUUGUUUGAUGAAUUCAUUUCUUUUUUUUUAUUUCUUAUUUCUUAUUUCUUAUAGGGAUUUUUUUUCUUAAUUUCAAUGUUUAGCACUAUCGGUUUCAAUCUAUUAUUUUCCCAGUCUCUCUAUUUAUUAAUGCCAAAAGAUCGUAUGUAAAUUAGAACCAAGGCCAUAUUUUGUUGAAGUAUUGUGAUAUUUCUAUUAAUUGAGCAUUUAGCAAUGGAUUAGUUUCCAGAAUGAUAUUUCCAUAACCUAUCUUCCAGCCAACUUGAGACUGUGAUAUAUCUAUAGUUGAUAUUAAAUGACCUUAUAGAUAGGGUUGUCAUAUGUGGGUUUGCUGCAUUGUCAAGUUAAGUGGGCCAAACACUUCUGUGUGGUUGUAGGGUCCCUCCUCUAAUUUUGUUACUCUUCUUUUGAGUAUUUUGGUUGAAUCGAUGCCUGAGAUGUCUAGACAUGUGAACUCUAUUAAAAGAUUAUGUUCAGGAAGAGAUACAUCAAAAAUUAGGGCAAGGGUGGUUCAAUUGAACCCAUCUAUAAAGUUGUGUUCUGUAAGGGCUGGGAACUUUUCUUUGAGUUGAUCUUUAUUUUUCAAAUAUUUUGUUUGCAAGAUGUAGCACUUAUUAGGGCUUUAUAAAUAGUGGCUUUGUUGUGUAGUUUUUUGCAUCCUGAAGUUUGCAGAAGUUGCUCUAAUCUUGGCUGGUUGUUCUGUUUUCAUCUGAUGUUUUAAGUUACAUUGUUGUUCUGUUAUGUGUGUACAAGUUAUAAUAUCUCAGCUAUUUUUUUCUCAUUUCUUUAAAAUAUGAUACAAUUACUACUGAAGGUACAUUGCAAGCCAGUGAUCUUGAUCAUCAAUUUACAUUAUUUUUUCUUGGUUCUAUUUGUGUCACUGUUUUCAUCUCCAUUUUAUGAAGGAUUAGUUCAAUGAUACUGUUGAUACCUUUGGCUAUAGAAAUUUUAUUCUUUUGCUUCUAGAUCUUAGUUUCAACUUUCAUCACUGUUGAAGUUCAGAAGUGUUUUUUUUCCUGUUUGCUUAUCUUCUUUCUCCUUCUUCAACUUUCAUCACUUUUUUUUCUGACUUGAAACUAAUAACUUUAGAGAUUAAAGAAGUCACAGCGACACUGCAACAAGCUUCUGAAGAAGGAAAAGCUUGAUGCUUCCCUUAAGGCAUAAUUAGUAAAAGUGAAGAAAGAGCAAGGGGAACUGAAGGAGAAGGAAUAAGCAUCAGAAGCUCUUGCUGCUAACUUAACUAUUGAAAUACAAAGCAGCAAGGCAGAGACAAACUAUGUGGCGAAAAAAGAUUUUGAUCCAAAUCAUGAGAUAAACAUGGAAGUUGUGCAGCUUUCAUUUGAGAGAGAGAGAAUGCAAGAAAAGAAGAAGAAGAACACGAAGAAACGAAAAUAAAAGCUCAAAAGCUGAAGCAAGAGGUUAAAAAUCUGGAGUUGUGGCUGAAGAAAUGGAGCAGAAGCUGGAACUUUUGUUGAAACAAGCUGAAGAAGUGAGAGCGGCAGGGCAAAAAGCCAUUGAAGAGAUGAAAUAUUGUCUGGUGCACAAGGUGGAAGAGUCUCAGUUUCAGAUUCCAAUUGUAAGAUCAUACUUACAGUUCUGGAAACAAAUGCUUUUAUGUGAUUGUUCCUUUGGGUGCCAAACCAUAUGUGCUUCAAAUGAGGUAGUCAGCAAGGACUAUUAGUCUGUUGAGUUACAACUUACCAGAGGUGUUAAUUUACAUAUAAGUUUAAUAUUGUAAGCUUUAUUAAAUUUAUCUACUCUUCUCUAUUUACCAUUUC